AAUGGGCGCAAGCCUGAUCCAGCCAUCCCGCGUGAAGGAUUAAGGCCCUCUGGGUUGUAAACUUCUUUUCUUUGGGAAUAAAAACGCUGAUUCAUCGGAGCUUGAAGGUACCAGAGGAAUAAGCACCGGUUAACUCCGUGCCAGCAGCCGCGGUAAUACGGAGGGUGCAAGCGUUAUCCGGAUUCACUGGGUUUAAAGGGUGCGUAGGUGGCUUUGUAAGUCAGUGGUGAAAGCCCGGAGCUCAACUCCGGAACUGCCAUUGAUACUGCUUAGCUUGAAUCAGGUCGAGGUGGAUGGAAUAUUACAUGUAGCGGUGAAAUGCUUAGAUAUGUAAUAGAACACCGAUUGCGAAGGCAGUUCACUAGGCCUGUAUUGACACUGAGGCACGAAAGCGUGGGGAUCAAA
rnacentral:rRNA from 1 species